rnacentral:rRNA from 1 species
UACGAAGGGUGCAAACGUUGCUCGGAAUUAUUGGGCGUAAAGCGCACGUAGGCGGCUUGGCAGGUCGGAUGUGAAAUCCCUCGGCUCAACCAAGGAAGUGCAUCCGAAACUGCUGAGCUUGAGUACUUAAGAGGAUCGCGGAAUUCCCGGUGUAGAGGUGAAAUUCGUAGAUAUCGGGAGGAACACCAGUGGCGAAGGCGGCGAUCUGGGAAGAUACUGACGCUGAGACGCGAAAGCGUGGGGAGCGAACAGG